CAGACUUGUCUUCAUUGUUCGGCUCAGCCUCUUCACCGUUGGCAUCAUCAUCAUGAUCACAGUUGCAGUCGUCUACCCGAUCUUUGCUGCGAAGAGCAGAAAGUCCAGAGAUGAUGUGACUGUAGAUGUGAGGCUUCAAUCAACAGCAGGUAAGAAAACUUCAGUUGUAUUUUUUUCUACAACCGUCACAUUCAGCAGCUUCAAACCAUGUAUGAUAUUUAUGCUGUUAACUUAUUAGACUACGUUAUCAAUUAAGAAAUACAAUUAAAGUAUUUCCCACUCUACAAUGACUGCAGUACUAAAAUUUUUGUAUGGUGUCCCAAAAGUAUUUCCGUUUUGUUUGUUGUAGUUUAUGUUAAUGAAGAGCCUCCUGGAUUGAGAAGACGGGCCUGAUGGAGCUGCCUGCCCUCCCAUCAUAGAAUCUUUCUGCUAAAUGUUCAGUAUGUUGCAGGUCUCACUGCCAUUUUAUGCUUUUAAUUUCAUUUCUGCUGUUGUGUUGUUGUAAGUUCCUAUUAUGUUUCCCCACUUUUACAGUUCUUCAAUAAAAUGUUUUGAUGCAGAACAGUAGUAAAAAAAAUCACCUAAAAUAAAAAUACAAAUAAAUACAAUCAACUCCCUCCCUGACAUUUUUUAAUUGGAGCCAAGAUUACAUAUAAAAUUAAAGCCUUAUCAAAGCCACUUCUCGCAUUAACUUAAAAAUACUUGAUAUGCAAACUCAGGCUAAAACGCAUUGAUACAGUUAAGGUUUGGGGUUGACAUAAAACAAUUCUAGAGUAAAUUUAAUGUGUAUAGUUCAGUUUGCACAAAAAUUAAUAAUCAGGAUACUGGCAAGUGUAUUAUAUCCUGACUGAUAAUUACCAGAGAUACCAAACUCACACAAACCACAAAAGAAUCUGGUUACAGAAAAACAGAUUCAGAUUCCAGCGAAGGUUCCCUCAGAGAUGAGCCUAGCUAAAAAGUGAUCAUCACCAAAACUUAAACAUUCACUUAAAGAUACGGUAACAAAUAUUACUAAUUAUAAUUAGUUAAUCAUUAAAUAUAUGAUUAUAACAGGUAACAAAAGACUGAAGUGGUUAUUAAAGGGCAGAGAGAUCAGGUAAAUGCAGAAUGUAAAAGAAAUCAUCUUUUUGUUUUCACCCAUGACUCAUGUUAAUUACAGUUUAAUUUCCAAGUACAUACCAGACAAUAGUAUUGACAAAAAUUAUAUUCAUGUAAAUGUCACUACUGCUGAUGGAAAUUCAUUUGGAGUCUAGAUGAACCGAGUGCCAAGCAUCUCUUCUCUCUGAGAUGACUGUUUUUGUACAUGAUCUCUGUAUGUGUGUGUUUGUAAGCUUAAAAUGUGGUUAAGCAGUUAUGUGUCAUCAUUGUUAGCAGGUAUUAGCAGGACAAGACUGCAUCAACAGACACAUAGACACUCAGCACACCUUUUUUUGGGGGGGGGGGGCCUCCCUACACACAAAUGUAACAACACAGAGAACAAAGUGACCUAACUGCUCCAUGAGUAUAAUCAUGUUAACUGAUUUAAAGGUGCAGUAUGUAGGAAUUGACCACCUGUAAUAUUCCCCACAGUAACUGCUAGUGACUGUAUUGUAUAUCCAUCCCUGACUGUAGCAACCAUUAGCUUGUUAGCUCAGCUAGCCAGGCUACCUGAUGUUUGUGUUUAGACAGUUAGCACAGGAGCUUUGGACGGCUGGGAGAGAGAGGUUUUCAGUCCUGGAACUAGCUGCUUAGCAUGCUAACUUCAGCAGAUAUCUCUGUAACACUAUACAUAGGUGGCUCUGAAAUCACGAUGGUUAUUUCCUCACAUGCUAAUACAUUCAGUUUGAUAACAUAGUUUUAAAAAUGUUUUAAACAAAAAUUGUUACACAUUGCACCUUUAAGUUUAGCUAUAUAUUUUAGCUUAUCUCAUCUAUAGUUUGCUAUUCAUACGCAAAUCAUUACCCAUGUAUUCAAGCUACUGUGUAUGUUCAAAAAUGAAUAAAUAAUAUAAACAAUGAAAUAAAGUUUUGUAUUUUCAUAUUUUGUCAAUGUUAAAAUAUAUGUUAAACACUAUUUAUUGUAGCAAGUCCAUGUUUUGUCCCCCCCCAAGUGGCAAGGAGGCCCUCGACAUGUGCCUCAAUCCUGCCAAAGGUAUAAAUGUUGGACUUAGUUACAUUUGGCAUUUCAUAACUACAACUGUGUGUCCUUUUUUACUACUGCACUUGUUGGCAGUCAAGUCAUGAUCUAAACAUUCAGUGAUGCCUGUUCAAAACAUUAGAUGAGAAAUGAGGAAUGAAUGCUCCAAGCACUCACUUCAAUUUCCAAAGAGUUUUGAAAGCUUUAUUGCAUUUAGAUGGCAUACAAGGCAUUUGUGAUGAAUGUCUUCAAUUUGACAUGAAAUGUUCAGAAAACAACCAAACUACCAAAACAAUAAAUAUUAAUCCCAAUUUUUGACUUCCUGGAAAAUCCCUAGACACUUCAAAACCAACUUGACAAAGGAGAGAACUGUCGUGUGUUACAUCAAGACAAAAGAUUGCCCUUUGUCAAGAAAUGGCCCUAAUGCUUAAAGUGACUUUGCACUGUUUUAUGAAAAAAAAAAAA